UGGGGAAUUUUGGACAAUGGGCGCAAGCCUGAUCCAGCCAUGCCGCGUGUGGGAAGAAGGCCUUCGGGUUGUAAACCACUUUUGUCAGGGAAGAAACGGCUCUUACUAAUAUUAGGAGCUAAUGACGGUACCUGAAGAAUAAGCACCGGCUAACUACGUGCCAGCAGCCGCGGUAAUACGUAGGGUGCAAGCGUUAAUCGGAAUUACUGGGCGUAAAGCGUGCGCAGGCGGCUAUGCAAGACAGAUGUGAAAUCCCCGGGCUCAACCUGGGAACUGCAUUUGUGACUGCAUGGCUAGAGUACGGUAGAGGGGGAUGGAAUUCCGCGUGUAGCAGUGAAAUGCGUAGAUAUGCGGAGGAACACCGAUGGCGAAGGCAAUCCCCUGGACCUGUACUGACGCUCAUGCACGAAAGCGUGGGGAGCAAACAGG
rnacentral:rRNA from 1 species